GCUUGGCACUUCGCAAAUAUUUUCAGUCGUGGGAGAGCAGCCCUUUAUUUCAGUAGAGAAAGGAGGCUCCAGCCACACUUCAAAGAGAGGCUGAGGUUGGAGACCCUCCGACUGAAGGGUGGGGUAGGAGGGGAAAUCUGCACCCUCUGGAUGGAUGCCCCAGGAUGCUGAAGAGGAUCCUUCCCAUGGGCAUCUCUGGACCCUCCCAUGAGGAUAAUAUUACCACAAAAUCACCGAUCUGCAUACAUUUAUUAAAGCACUGGUUCAACAUGGAGGCUUACAGAUAACCAUCUUCUAAGAUAAAACUCACUGAUUGCAUGGCAUAUUUUUGGACCCAUUCACAGAAAAGAAG
rnacentral:lncRNA from 1 species